rnacentral:rRNA from 1 species
GGCGCAAGGGUGCGUAACACGUGGGUAAUCUGCCAUGAAGUCUGGAAUAACUUGCUGAAAGGCGAGCUAAUACCGGAUGUGACGAUCGGGAGACAUCUCCUGGUUUUUAAAGUUGGGGACCGUAAGGCCUGACGCUUCAUGAUGAACCCGCGGCCUAUCAGCUAGUUGGUGAGGUAACGGCCCACCAAGGCUAAGACGGGUAGCUGGUCUGAGAGGACGACCAGCCACACUGGAACUGAGACACGGUCCAGACACCUACGGGUGGCAGCAGUCGAGAAUUUUUCACAAUGGGCGCAAGCCUGAUGGAGCGACGCCGCGUGGGGGAUGAAUGGCUUCGGCCCGUAAACCCCUGUCAUUCGCGAUCAAACCUUGUUAUUUAAAAGAUGACGAGCUGAUAGUAGCGGAAGAGGAAGGGACGGCUAACUCUGUGCCAGCAGCCGCGG